UAUUUUCUGUAUUAAUUUAGGACUGGAGUUGAUAUUUCAAAGUACUCUGUGUUUGGUAUUGCAGAUACUCAAAGAAUCCACAUAAAUCAACUGGAAGACGCCACUUUAGCUCUGCUACAAAUUAGAAUCAACAACGUCAACCACAGCUUUGGGAUAUGUGAAACAUACAGAUCAGAACAGCUUUUCAUCACAACAACGAGUAAACUUAGAGCCAAAGAUGCUUCAAUAAAGCAGUAGCAAAUACAGAAUUAGCUGUUUUCAUGCACUGAUGACCCUGCAGUAUGCACUGGAAGGAAUGCGAUCAUUUAUCUAGAAGGUGGAUCAGCUCUCUGAUCAGAUUAAUUGCAUGGCUGUUCAAGCAGCUUGGCUGGCAGAGCAGAGAGAGGGAUAAGAUGGAGAAGUUGCUCAAACCAGCUGGAACAGCACUGCUGCCAGAGCCAAAACCCAUCUGUUAUUGCUCAGCCAUGAAGUGCUUGGACCAGAGACAUCCCUUGUUGUCCUUUUGCCUCGAUCAUUCAGUCUUCCAUAAUGCUGAACAAGAAAAAGGUCCUUAUUUAUGUUUGUAAGAGCACCAUAAUUUCAUCUACUCCUCCAAAGAACCUCAAGGACUUUUUACAGUCCCCUUCAAUGAAUAGUCAAGUCAUGCUCAAGAGAUUCAAGCCAGAUUCCUGAAUUUGCUGUUAACAGGAGAAUCCAGCCACAGAGAUGAAGCAGGAUUAUAGGUGGAGGAACUAUUAGAUGACAUGGAUGAUUCUGUGUGGAAGCAGGAUCUGGAUUUUGUGGCAAGUGAUAACAUGCUGAAUGUUCAUACCCUCUGUUAUUCUUUUUCUCUUGUAUUCACAAUAGGCAGAACUGAAGUCACUUCAAUAAUAACUUUUUGACACUGGAGAAUAUUUAAAGUUGCAGUCUUGCUUUCCCUUUGACCCAUAGUCCCAUAGUCAUCAUUUGAAUUGAAGAAGGUGGUAGAUUGAGAUUAUAUUCCAACAUCAGAAAUCUGUCUAAUCAUUCAGCUCUGUGGUAAGGUGUUUAAAGAAGUGAUCGUUACUAAAAACUUAAGAAACUGAGUCAUGCUAAGAGGAGAUAAUAAAA
rnacentral:lncRNA from 1 species